rnacentral:rRNA from 1 species
AUUGAACGCUGGCGGCAUGCCUUACACAUGCAAGUCGAACGGUAACGGGCCUUCGGGUGCCGACGAGUGGCGAACGGGUGAGUAAUACAUCGGAACGUGCCCGAUCGUGGGGGAUAACGAGGCGAAAGCUUUGCUAAUACCGCAUACGAUCUACGGAUGAAAGCAGGGGACCGCAAGGCCUUGCGCGGACGGUGCGGCCGAUGGCAGAUUAGGUAGUUGGUGGGAUAAAAGCUUACCAAGCCGACGAUCUGUAGCUGGUCUGAGAGGAUGAUCAGCCACACUGGGACUGAGACACGGCCCAGACUCCUACGGGAGGCAGCAGUGGGGAAUUUUGGACAAUGGGCGCAAGCCUGAUCCAGCCAUGCCGCGUGCAGGAUGAAGGCCUUCGGGUUGUAAACUGCUUUUGUACGGAACGAAAAGCCUUCUUUUAAUACAGGAGGGUCAUGACGGUACCGUAAGAAUAAGCACCGGCUAACUACGUG